UACAGAGGGUGCAAGCGUUAAUCGGAAUUACUGGGCGUAAAGCGCGCGUAGGUGGUUUGGUAAGUCGGAUGUGAAAUCCCCGGGCUCAACCUGGGAACUGCAUUCGAAACUGCCUGGCUAGAGUUUGAGAGAGGGAAGUGGAAUUCCGCGUGUAGCAGUGAAAUGCGUAGAUAUGCGGAGGAACACCGAUGGCGAAGGCAAUCCCCUGGACCUGUACUGACGCUCAUGCACGAAAGCGUGGGGAGCAAACAGG
rnacentral:rRNA from 1 species